rnacentral:guide_RNA from 1 species
ACGAUCUACGGAUUUAAGAGUGACGUCAAUGC